rnacentral:lncRNA from 1 species
CUGUUCCCGUUUUCUAAGUUGAGAUGUUUGUUUGUUUUUCUCUGAAAAGAUAGGGGAAAACUAUAGAUUUGGCCUUAGCACCAUGUAAAUAAAGAGGCUGUGCAGCAGAUCAGUCAGUUGCCUCCUUGUAAUAACCACUAGUAUGUUUUUACCUCUUUAUCUAAUAUAGUUUGAAGCCCUUAAUAUUUUAACCAAUUGUUAUUUAGCCUUUUAAACUACCUAUUUCUAGAACCUAUAUCUAGAAAUAAUGAUUUAUAAAUUUUCAGCUACUAAAUGGCUAAUGUUGAAUGAACGAAGAGCAUUUCUGGACGUUUACUUAGCAUCCCCCUGAAGUGAAACGUGUAUGUACUUGGCCUCUUUACCUAUUUCUUCUCAUUGACAGAAAAAUGGAAAAUGCUCGAGACUGUAGCAAAGGAAGAAUGAAGACAGGAAGGAAGACAGGAAGAAUGAAAGGGUUCAAGCUGUUCUGCAGUGCGACAUCUUAUAUUAGACACUACUGCUAAGUACUGACAUCUUGGGAUGACAAAAAAUGAAAACAAUGGAUUCAAACAUCAUCAUUCUCAAAUAGAUUCUGAGCGUUCCAGCUACUACUUAUGAUCUAUUUGGACAACAGAAAGGACAAUACUACUUUAAGAACUCAGAAACUUUCUGAACAGGUUAGUUGUAGCAUUCUUAUGGUCUCAUUUUACUUCAGGAACCAGUAAAAGUGGAGGGGCAUAAAUACAAGGGUCAGUUUUAUGUUGGG